rnacentral:snRNA from 1 species
AGCUUUGCGCAGUGGCAGUAUCGUGGCCAAUGAGGUUUAUCCGAGGCGCGAUUAUUGCUAAUUAAAAAGCAAAUGCCAGGGUACCUAUGUGGUUCAGUCAGUUAAAUGUCUACCUUCAACUCAGGUCAUGAUCCCAGGGUC